rnacentral:rRNA from 1 species
CCUGCCCUAUGAUUUUAAAAUGGCCGCGGUAAUUUGACCGUGCAAAGGUAGCAUAAUCAUUAGUUUUUUAAUUGAAAGCUGGAAUGAAAGGUUGGAUGAGAAAAUGUCUGUCUCUAUUUAAAUUUAUUAGAAUUUUAUUUUUAAGUAAAAAAGCUUAAGUAAUUAUAAAAGACGAGAAGACCCUAUAGAGUUUUAAUUUGGUUGGGGUGAUUGAAAAAUUAAUUAAACUUUUUUUUAUUUGUAUCAUUAAUUUAUGUAUAAAUGAUCCUUUAUUUAAGAUUAAAAGAGUAAAUUACCUUAGGGAUAACAGCGUAAUUCUUUUAAAGAGUUCAAAUCGAAAAAAGAGAUUGCGACCUCGAUGUUGGAUUAAAAUAAA